rnacentral:rRNA from 1 species
UACGUAGGGGGCAAGCGUUGUCCGGAAUCAUUGGGCGUAAAGAGCGUGUAGGCGGCCCGGUAAGUCCGCUGUGAAAGUCCAGGGCUCAACCCUGGGAUGCCGGUGGAUACUGUCGGGCUCGAGUCCGGAAGAGGCGAGUGGAAUUCCUGGUGUAGCGGUGAAAUGCGCAGAUAUCACGAGGAACACCAAUGGCGAAGGCAGCUCGCUGGACGUGACUGACGCUGAGACGCGAAAGCGUGGGGAGCAAACAGGAUUGAGAAACCCU